UACGUAGGGUGCGAGCGUUAAUCGGAAUUACUGGGCGUAAAGCGUGCGCAGGCGGAUUGUUAAGCAAGAUGUGAAAUCCCCGGGCUCAACCUGGGAACUGCAUUUGGGACUACAAGGCUAGAGUGUGUCAGAGGGGGGUAGAAUUCCCCGUGCAGCAGUGAAAUGCGUAGAGAUGUGGAGGAAGACCGAUGGCGAAGGCAGCCCCCUGGGAUAACACUGACGCUCAUGCACGAAAGCGUGGGGAGCAAAUAGG
rnacentral:rRNA from 1 species